CUACGGGAGGCAGCAGUGAGGAAUAUUGGUCAAUGGGCGAGAGCCUGAACCAGCCAAGUCGCGUGAAGGAUGACUGCCCUAUGGGUUGUAAACUUCUUUUGUACUGGGGUAAAAAAGAGGACGUGUCCUUCUGCAAGUACAGUACGAAUAGAUCAUCCAA
rnacentral:rRNA from 1 species